UACGUAGGGGUGCGAGCGUUGUCCGGAAUUACUGGGCGUAAAGAGCUCGUAGGUGGUUUGUCGCGUUGUUCGUGAAACUCACAGCUCAACUGUGGGCGUGCGGGCGAUACGGGCAGACUGGAGUACUGCAGGGGAGACUGGAAUUCCUGGUGUAGCGGUGGAAGUGCGCAGAGUAUCAGGAGGAACACCGGUGGCGAAGGCGGGUCUCUGGGCAGUAACUGACGCUGAGGAGCGAAAGCGUGGGGAGCGAACAGG
rnacentral:rRNA from 1 species